rnacentral:misc_RNA from 1 species
GAUGAAGAACGCAGCGAAAUGCGAUAAGUAAUGUGAAUUGCAGAAUUCAGUGAAUCAUCGAAUCUUUGAACGCACAUUGCGCCCGCCAGUAUUCUGGCGGGCAUGCCUGUUCGAGCGUCAUUUCAACCAUCAAGCUCAGCUUGGUGUUGGGUGUCUGUCCCCGCCUCACCGCGGGGACUCGCCUCAAAAUCAUUGGCGGCCGGUACGUUGGCUUCGAGCGCAGCAGAAACGCGAACUCGAGGCCCGGCGGAUCGGCGACCAGAAGUCACUUCUUCACAGUUUGACCUCGGAUCAGGUAGGGAUACCCGCUGAACUUAAGCAUAUCAAUAAGCGGAGGA